AAAGUAAGGCAGCUGGGUUUUAAUGCUUCCACUGGCUGGUCAUUGGCUGUGGCUCCUUGCCCAGGGAAGUGUAGCCCCCAGGCCCUGCCAACUCUCCUCCUUUGUGGGUGAUACUGCUCCAGGAGGCCAACCGCAGUCCUCUGAAGACAGCUCACAAGUGGAAGCCAUAAGAAAGCACACAAAAGCUGGAGAGAGAUAGCCAGAGUGGAAGUCCCCUUAUGGCAUAUGAAGUGACUGGGUAAGGAUAUAACCUCUAAAAGCCUCCAAGAAAUUCCUGAUUUUGUGAAAGUACAAGUAGGAUGAGAAGUUAUUGAGAGAGGAGCUGUGUUAUUCAAAGUGAAUGUUCACGGGUCAGUGUCAGCAAAUGAUAUCUGUAACAUGUUGCUAAUGCAGGUGAGAACAUGGAGCUGCAGGGAGGAUAAGCAGGAUGCGCCAGGUCCUAUAGCUCUUGUGUGGCAGGAUCAGCAUACACAGCCUGCACUACCACUACACUGCUCUCAAGCAGACAAAGCCGCUGAAGAGGAGAACCAGCUUCUAUACCAAACUGCUCAAGGCUUGCUGAGCAGGGAGGCGAAUGCAUGAGCAUCUGGAUGGGGGUCUAAGCAGGUGCCUUGAAGACCUUUCUCUACUCUCUAAUUAGGUCACAUGCUGAGGAAGCCAGCCCCCAUGGUAAAACUAGAACUCUGGGAUCUAGGACAUGCUGAAUGUGGAGAUAUCUCCUGGAAUCGAAGACAGCAAGAUCAUCAUACCACAUUGAUUAAUGAGAAGCAGUAGCAGCUGCACAGUAGAAUCACCUGGAGAGCUCUUAAAAAAUACCGAUGCCAUGCAGACCCCACCUAACACCAACUCAACCAGAAUUUCUGGGCAUAGGAUCUUUUAAAAUUUCCCCAUGAGGGCCCAAUGUGCAACAGAGUGAGAGAUAGUGGUUUAUUCCAUUUCUAACCAACUCAAGGGUCUUCAGGAAGACACCUUGGCCAUGGUUCUAGAAUUCUCCUUUUUGAGAUCUUCAGGUCGGAGGCGCUACAAGGCAAAUGCCUACACCUGGGCCUGGCAGGUUACAAAUGAGUGGAGACUGCGGAGAACAAAAAAUAUAUACAUAUAUCCUUGGCAUUUGUCUCAGGAGGCAGCAGGGAGCAAUGGAGACCAUGGAAAACUCUAGAGCCCAGGUGGCAUCUAAAGAGACUGAAGCUCCUCAUCUUUGAUCUAUUGUUGUCUAGAGGUAAAAUUAGGUUGGAGCAAGAAGAUUGUGAAAUCUCAUGUUCCACAAUGGUCCGCUGAGCAAGUCAAAAUAGAGUUCGAUCUCCAUGAUUCAAAAUCUCCCAAUGGGAGCAAUCAGCCACCAUAAUGUGAGGAUACUCGAGCCAACCUAGAAGAGUCCAAAUGAAGAACGAAGGCUCCUGCUAAAAACCAUCACCAGCUGGAUAAUUCUAUAAGUAAACGAACUUUAGAAAUGGAUCCUCUAACUCUGAUUAACCUUCAGACAAUUACAACUGUGGCCAACAACUUAACAACAACCUCAAUGAGAGACCCUGAGCCAGAAAUACUCAGAUGAUCCAGAACCAGAAAUACUAAUCAUUCAAACUGUGAAAUCUAACAAUGUUUAUUGUCCUUUUGAGCUAUAAUAUUUGGGGAUAACCUGCUAAACAGCAAUAGAUAAGUAAUGAAGUUGUGGUCCAACCCAUGCUACUAACACUUUAUGAAGCUUCUUUACUUCUUUUCAUUUCUUUGAUCUCCUUCAAUCUUCCCUAAGAUUCUAUAAGCAUCUCCCCAACUCCAUUCUGCUAACAUCAGUUUCAACUGCUUAUUAUCAAAGAACACAACUAUAAAACAGUGUAAUUUAUUAAUAAUUUAAAAAGUUUGGUCUGAGAAAUUUUAAUUCAAUAUCUUGGUUUACUGUGGAUCUAUCUACACAUUAUACAUUUUCACAUGAAGGGUAAAAGAUUGCUAUUUAUCUACUGGCAUUUUGUAAGUCAAAAGUGAUUUACCACUGAUACAUAUGUCUCUUGAUGAAUAUUCUAAGAUUAUGCAGCACUUCUUUAUCACAUAUAAUUUAUAAAGAAUUAUGUGAUCAUCAUCUAUAAAGAAUGCAAGUGUAAACUUGUAAAAUGAAAUUAGAUGCUUUGUAAUUGAAAAAUAUAUUCAUUGUAGAUUUAAUUGUUGAAUAGUUAUUUUGAUUUGCCCACACAAGUUAUUACUUCAGAUUUACAAGUUUGGAUAUCCUGAACUUUAGCAUGUUGCCCUCAUGAGUGUGUGUUAAUACUUUUUUCUUCUUCACGAAUAGAUGAAAACUUAAAGGAAAAAAUAGAAAACUGCCCACAAUGAAAAUGUAUCUUCCUUAUUUUAAAUCAAAUGAUUGUGUUUAAUUUUUUAAAUACAGUAGUGUUUUAAUCAAACUUAGAAAAAUUUUGGUCAUUAUUCUUUAAAUAUUUUUAUUGCACUAUUCUCUCCCGUCCUUCUCCUCUGCCUUCUCAUCUCCUCAAACUCAAGUUAUGUUUGUGUUACAACUUUUGAUAUUAUUCCACAGGUCCUACAUUGUUCAUUUUCUUUUAUCUUAUUUUCUCUCUGUAGUUCAAAUUCAUAUUAGCAUAUUGCUUUCAUUGAGCUUGGUGUUAUUUCUUAUGUUGCCAAUCUGUGAUUAAAGCUAUCAAUGUUUGUUUUCAAAUAUUAUACUUUUCAACUCUACAACUUCCAUUUGGUUCAUAUUUAUGAUUUUUUUUCCUAUUCUGAGAUAGUCUCUCGGUAUUCAUUCAUCAUGACCAUAUUUUUCUUUAAAAUUUUAUAAAAGCUACUUUAAAUUCCAUGUCCACUAAUUUCAACAUCUAGAUAUUUGGUAUUGAUUUACAUAGACUAACUCUCUAAAAUAUUGUUCACAUUUUUUAUCCUGUUUUCUUAUUUGUAGUAACUUCUAGAUAUAUGUUGGACAUAAUGGAUCAGAAAUUAUAGAAAUCUGGAUUAUGUUGUCCUCCUUAAAUACUGGUGAUGUUUUUUAUGGCUGACAUAUAAAUCACUGUAGAUAUUUUUGUUCUUGUCAGGCUUGAACUUAUAGUUUAUUAGAGCUUUAUCUAUAUUUAGUUUUUAACUUUAUCCUAGGGAAUAUCCUUACUCUACAGCAUGAUCUUUAUACUUAAAAUAUAAUUUCUCUGAAUCUCAACUGAAUCACGAAUGAAAUUUCUUUACUUCAGUUGGUCUGGACUCCAGUGAAUUCUGGCAUGGUAUGCCCUCUAAUAUGACUGGCUCUCAGCCCUAAAAAGGACCAAUUUGGGGAAAGAUGAGGUAUUUAUAAUCAUAAGGCUCAUGUCUUCUAUUCCUCUUAUUUUAAAGAUCACAAUCUUAUCUAGCCUUUGUUUAAUUUCUGACACAGUGAUUUCAUACAUUUUUUCCAAUUUAAUAGUUCUUCUUGUCAAGAGGACAUGUCUGGUGCCAGUUACUUUGUCAUAGUUAAAAGUUGAAGUUGCUUUCAAAUGUAUAUCUUCAGCCAGUUUGCUAUAACAUUUCUGGACUUAAUAGUAAAAUAAAAUAGCAUGUUAGAAUGUUUAAAUAAUUUUACAAAGAAACAAAAAACCCCUAAUACCCCUAAUACACAUACACAUGCCAUAUACAUUUUCUUUUUUUUUUUUUUGCCAUAAACAUUUUCAAAUUUGUAGAGAACUCCUAUAAACUUUUUGUAUAACAGGAAUUAAAUAUAUUUUAAUAAAAUAUUUUGUAUAACAGUGAUUAAAUAUAUUUUAAUAAAAAUUAAUUAGCUCACAAAUUCCUUCACAUUUUGAUUUGUCAAUAUUUUGUAUUUAUACUUAUAAGGAUAGAAAUAUGUGAUGAGAACUCUAUUUAUAUUUAUGUGUUAUAGUAAUCAUUAUAUUUUAAAAUAUUAAUACCUUACUUUCAAUAAGAAGAACUCAAUUGCUUUGAUAUCUCUGCAAAUCACCUGCAUAGAGUCUACAAAUUAUGCCUAAUUUAGGUGCAGACCUUCGUCUCUUAAAGACAGGGUUCAACUUACCAAACCAAUUUCCACCAAGUCCCUUACUCUCAGUAGAGAAAAACUCAAUAAAUGAUUUUGCCAUUAAGCUUUCUGUAUUUCUUUAAUAUAGUAGCAAUCUAUUGAAAAUUUAAACCUAAACCAAAAAUAAUAUGGUAUCUCAGAUAUUCAAGCUAAAAUUUAAGUCAGAACACUACCUGAAGGAGUUUCAAAAGUGUUUACAAUAUAUUUUACAGACUGUAGCUAAGAGCUUUGUACAAUUCAUCUUCCAGAUGUAGACACAUUAAUGAAUUUAAGUGUAUUAAUUUUCCUCUAGCAUUUACAAUUUAUUAUUGGCUUGGUUUGGCAGUGAGAUGUUAAAAGGGGUUCAA